CCUACGGGAGGCAGCAGUGAGGAAUAUUGGUCAAUGGGCUUACGCCUGAACCAGCCAAGCCGCGUGAGGGAAGACUGCCCUAUGGGUUGUAAACCUCUUUUGUCAGGGAGCAAUUGGCGCUACGUGUAGCGUUAUCGAGAGUACCUGAAGAAAAAGCAUCGGCUAACUCCGUGCCAGCAGCCGCGGUAAUACGGAGGAUGCGAGCGUUAUCCGGAUUUAUUGGGUUUAAAGGGUGCGUAGGCGGAAUGCCAAGUCAGCGGUAAAAUCGCGGGGCUCAACCUCGCUCCGCCGUUGAAACUGGCGGUCUUGAGUGGGCGAGAAGUAUGCGGAAUGCGUGGUGUAGCGGUGAAAUGCAUAGAUAUCACGCAGAACUCCGAUUGCGAAGGCAGCAUACCGGCGCCCAACUGACGCUGAAGCACGAAAGCGUGGGUAUCGAACAGGAUUAGAUACCCUUGUAGUC
rnacentral:rRNA from 1 species